CCUACGGGAGGCAGCAGUGAGGAAUAUUGGUCAAUGGACGCAAGUCUGAACCAGCCAUGCCGCGUGCAGGAAGACGGCUCUAUGAGUUGUAAACUGCUUUUGUACGAGGGUAAACGCAGAUACGCGUCUCUGUCUGAAAGUAUCGUACGAAUAAGGAUCGGGUAACUCCGUGCCAGCCGCCGCGGGAAUACGGAGGAUUCAAGCGUUAUCCGGAUUUAUUGGGUUUAAAGGGUGCGUAGGCGGUCGGAUAAGUUAGAGGUGAAAUCCCGAGGCUCAACUUCGGAAUUGCCUCUGGUACUGUUCGGCUAGAGAGUAGUUGCGGUAGGCGGAAUGUAUGGUGUAGCGGUGAAAUGCUUAGAGAUCAUACAGAACACCGAUUGCGAAGGCAGCUUACCAAGCUACUUCUGACGUUGAGGCACGAAAGCGUGGGGAGCAAACAGGAUUAGAUACCCGAGUAGUC
rnacentral:rRNA from 1 species